rnacentral:rRNA from 1 species
CCUACGGGGGGCUGCAGUGAGGAAUAUUGGUCAAUGGACGGAAGUCUGAACCAGCCAUGCCGCGUGCAGGAAGACGGCUCUAUGAGUUGUAAACUGCUUUUGUACAAGGGUAAACCUGAAUACGUGUAUUCAGCUGAAAGUACUGUACGAAUAAGGAUCGGCUAACUCCGUGCCAGCAGCCGCGGUAAUACGGAGGAUCCAAGCGUUAUCCGGAUUUAUUGGGUUUAAAGGGUGCGUAGGCGGAUUGAUAAGUUAGAGGGGAAAUGUCCGAGCUUAACUCGGGAACUGCCUCUAAUACUGGUGAUCUAGAGAGUAGAUGCGGUAGGCGGAAUGUAUGGUGUAGCGGUGAAAUGCUUAGAGAUCAUACAGAACACCGAUUGCGAAGGCAGCUUACCAAUCUAUAUCUGACGUUGAGGCACGAAAGCGUGGGGAGCAAACAGGAUUAGAUACCCGGGUAGUC